rnacentral:rRNA from 1 species
AUGGCCUGCUUCCCUUGCAACCCGCUCCCCCACCUUCCCCCCGGUACUGCAAUCAUCCCUCCUGGCCCCCUUCGUGCUCACCGUGGAUAUGUGGUUCUUGGAGGUGAGCUUCCGAUGGUUUGUGAUGAGUGGGCAAUCGCCACGCUCGUCCCUGAAGUAUCUGCUGAGGAGUUUCGUGGUGCCAAUACUCUGAUCACCAACUAUUUGGAGGGGCGUGGAUGGCGCAUCAACUACACCUCUCGUUGUGGUAUGGGCACUGCUCUGAUUCAGUUUACUACUGCAUGUUCGCGUGAUACUGCUAUCAGUCUUAGUCCGUUUCAGAUUGGGGAUUCUGUUCUUAGAAUUAGCAGACAGGACAGAGGCUUAAACUACCGCAGCAUUACAUUCACACAUGAUAUUUGGAUCUUGCUCAUGAACUACCCUCUUGAAUGCUGGGAUGUGGGGGUCAUUAGUCAUACUGUUUCUCCUUAUGGCCGCUUUCUGAUCUGGAACAAAGAUCCAAGGGACAAGUCAAGGGUUGUUGUUAAGCUUAGGGUUAUGAACAUGGACACUAUACCUAUUAGCCUAGUUGUGCUGAGAAAUCUUGAUGAUGUUGGCUAUGGAGAUUCUUGGACCUGUCCAACAUAUAUUCUGUCUCGAGAGCUGAUUGGUAGCAGGGGGGAUGAGGAUCCACUACCUCCUGAUGGUGGUAAUCCUCACCCACUUCCACAUGUUCAUGGAGGUUUUUGGCAUGAUGAGGUUUUAGGGAAUAUCCCUAUGGAUCAGGUGGUCAUCAACCCUCACAAUGAGAAUCUUGGUGCACCAUAUGAAGAUGUUCAUGCUGUUCAUAAUGAUAAUGUGAAUCAUUCUGCUGAGCACUUGGCUGCUGCUAUAGUGCUGUUGAUCAUGUGGAGGCACCUGCUAGGGAGGAUACAUAGGCUCACAUCCAGAUACACUCUAGCACACACUAUGUUGCCCCUCAUGAGACACUUGGGCCUGAUUAUAUCCCAAUUAAUCCUACGCCCCAGCCCAGCUCACAGAAUGCCCCAAGCCCUGUGUUUAUCCCUAUGA